UACGUAGGGUGCAAGCGUUAAUCGGAAUUACUGGGCGUAAAGCGUGCGCAGGCGGUUUUGUAAGUCUGUCGCGAAAUCCCCGGGCUCAACCUGGGAAUUGCGAUGGAGACUGCAAGGCUAGAAUCUGGCAGAGGGGGGUAGAAUUCCACGUGUAGCAGUGAAAUGCGUAGAGAUGUGGAGGAACACCGAUGGCGAAGGCAGCCCCCUGGGUCAAGAUUGACGCUCAUGCACGAAAGCGUGGGGAGCAAACAGG
rnacentral:rRNA from 1 species